rnacentral:lncRNA from 1 species
GUUAGUGCAGUGAUAAAGCAUAUAUUGUGGACUAGAGUUUCUGAUAUUGGGCUCUUCUUCCCAUUUUUAUUUUGACGACAAACCCUUGGCUGUCUGAGCACUAUACCUUUCAUCUUAUUCAUAAGUUUUCCACUGAUUUUUUAAUACUCAGAGUUUAUUCUUGUUAUAAAAUUAGGUUAAGAGCUAAUGAUGAGACAUACAAUUAUCUUAGCGGAUUUCAGUGAGAUUACUUUUAAUCAAUGAUCUGAUUGUUACACACACUGAAGCUC